AUCAAGGGCACAUGGGACAUCCUCUACAUUUUUAAAUCUUGAAAAUAUUUGCUUUUAGGAGUGUAUAAAGAAGUGCCUAUGUAAAUAAGGCAUCCAAGAAGUGAAGGGAGAUACCUGUAGCCUUCCACCUUCCACUUUUAGGCAUCUAUUUUGCGCCAGCUGCUAAAAAGGAUGAUAUCUAGCUCUUACAGAUGGGACUCUUUCUAUUUUGGUGAAAUAUGAAUGAUUGUGAAAAGUAGUGUUUUCAUAAAUAGCUCCACUUCCAUCCCUUAAAGGCUCUUCAUCAAAAAAAAAAAAAAAAAAAAAAAAAGGGAUGUAUAUAGACUUUACACUUAUGUGGAGAAGUUUGCAGAUGAAGAAAACUCCCCUCUUUCAGGUAGGAGGACUUCAGAAAAAAAACCACACACAAACAAACAAACAAACAAAAAAAAAACAGCAUUGCACAUUUAGCUUAACUGUAAGACAGCUUUUGGAGGAAAAUAUUAUAAGGAUUUAUGUGUAUGUUGGGGAAAAGCAUAAGUCCAAAACUAGAGUUGAGACCCAGUUUUAUGCAGGUUUCAGAAAAAUGUUUCUAUAUUUUUUUGUUCCAGUGGUAUUAGGAAAAGAACAAAAUAAUGAUCCAGCAUUGCUGUGAUCUGUAGAGCUCUAACCAGCCUAUUUCCCACAGCUUUAACAAGAUUUACCUUCUUAUACAACAGUGCACCAACUGGAAAUAAGUCCAUACAUGUGCACUUAUGAUGGAUUUUAAGCUCUGUACAUUUUUGUUCUCAUUGACUUGCCUUUGAGAUACCAUGCUUUUAAGAGGCAUCUCCAAAUGUACAAACGGGAAAUGCCACAAACUCUUCUGCAAGCUGUUAUUACUAUUCCAAGUGUGCAACUGAGUGACAGAGUGCAUAAAAUUAGGCAUAUGCACUUGCUUUUGCAUCUGGCAGCUCACGACACAUUUAUCACCUCUUGCUAGUAAGACACAACGCUAAUUAGUAUUUCUGCAACUUUAAUGGACACAUACAUUUUAACAUGUUGAUUCAACACAGAAACAUUUCCGUAGCCAUCAGAACAACUUCACCAAUUCAAAAAAAUACAUAUGCUUCAAAAGACUUUAGCCUGCUUCUGGAUCCAUAAUUUAAAUCCCACAGCGAAAACUGAAGUAAAAAUGUUCUUUCACCAUUGCCAAGGAGAGAAUUAUGGGAAAGGGAAAUGGAAACAUCCAUCCUUGCCUGCAUUGCAGUUCUAACAUGGAUCAGGACUGCACACUGCCCCCUGCUUCCUCUGCCCACGCUCUCUCUAUAUAAGGACUAAGAGAUUUCACUUUGGAACCCCAUGAGAAGAAAAAUGGAGAGCCUAUCAGGAGCCAGUAGAACACUGUACCAGAUGGCAUCCCUGUAGCCAGAUCCCCCAUAUCGUAAUCUUGAAUUAAAACAGACAACAAUGUUUACAACCCUGGUUAAAAAGUUUUAA